CGCUCGCCUGCUAAGCGAGUAUACGGGCAUAACCUGUAUCGAGGGUUCGAAUCCCUCACUCUCCGCCA
rnacentral:tRNA from 1 species